rnacentral:rRNA from 1 species
UACGUAGGGUGCGAGCGUUAAUCGGAAUUACUGGGCGUAAAGCGUGCGCAGGCGGUUUUGUAAGUUUGUCGUGAAAGCCCCGGGCUCAACCUGGGAAUUGCGAUGAAGACUGCAAGGCUUGAAUCUGGCAGAGGGGGGUAGAAUUCCACGUGUAGCAGUGAAAUGCGUAGAGAUGAUGGAGGAAUACCGAUGGCGAAGGCAGCCCCCUGGGUCAAUACUGACGCUCAUGCACGAAAGCGUGGGGAGCAAACAGG